AUUGAACGCUGGCGGAAUGCUUUACACAUGCAAGUCGAGCGGCAGCACGGGGGCAACCCUGGUGGCGAGCGGCGAACGGGUGAGUAAUACAUCGGAACAUGCCCAGUCGUGGGGGAUAACACUUCGAAAGAAGUGCUAAUACCGCAUACGUCCUGAGGGGGAAAGCGGGGGAUCGCAAGGCCUCGCGCGAUUGGAGUGGCCGAUGUCAGAUUAGCUAGUUGGUGGGGUAAAGGCCUACCAAGGCAACGAUCUGUAGCUGGUCUGAGAGGAUGAUCAGCCACACUGGGACUGAGACACGGCCCAGACUCCUACGGGAGGCAGCAGUGGGGAAUUUUGGACAAUGGGGGCAACCCUGAUCCAGCCAUUCCGCGUGAGUGAAGAAGGCCUUCGGGUUGUAAAGCUCUUUCGGCAGGAACGAAACGGUGAGCUCUAACAUAGCUUGCUAAUGACGGUACCUGAAGAAGAAGCACCGGCUAACUACGUG
rnacentral:rRNA from 1 species